AGUCAGCCUGUCUUUGAAGCUUUAAAGCCAGGCAUUGACUUCUCUCUAUCUCUGGAAGUUCUAGAUGGCAUUUUCUUCCAAUAUGAGGCUAUGUUGUCUUCAUUGAAAAACUGUUU
rnacentral:miRNA from 1 species